CCAGCAGGAGGCAGAGAGGAGAGAGGCUAUGUCUACACUCAGCGUUCUGAACUGUGAACAACAGAAUGAUUAGUAGCCUAAUAUU
ensembl:snoRNA Gm24745 predicted gene, 24745